CACAUUUUCAAUGUCACAACACUAAAUUUUAGCUCUAGGACGACGGACCAUGGAAUGCACCUCAACAUUUUUAAUAUAUCAACAGCUGGCUAAUUCAGACACUCCUAAGAUAUGGUGCGACAACAUACUAAACCUAUUUGGGAUUGGGACUGACCUUUUCAAGCAAGUUCUUAAGCUCAUCGCUCAUUUCAAUAUUCUCUUCCUUCAAUCUCUGACGCAUCUCAGGAGCUAAUUUGUCGGCAGCUAUGUAUAUCUUUAGCAGCAAUCUGUAAGCAAUGGAGUCAAGACUAUUAAUAUGCUUCAAGAUCUUGCAAAACUUCUCAGCACCAUCAAUAUCUUUCUCUUCACAAAAAUAAUUAAAAAAUGCAGUCACUGUCUCCUCCUUCGGUCGCCAGUCAUACUCAGCUCCAGAAAAAGCUGCUUUCAUAUGAUCAAAAGCCAAGUCCAGUUGAUGGAUCUUCAACGAGAAAACCAUGAACAUCUCCCGAGCCUUGAAGAAAGGCCCUUUGGCCCUCUUAAGUGCAUCAUCAAAGAUUGAUUCAGCUUCUUCAUACAUGUCCUGUUCCAGGUAGGCUCUUAUAGCAACAUUCGCUAACUUCAUAUCAUAACUGAGGCAACUGGAUUCCCACUCCUUAAAGCAUUUGGCUAUACCCUCGACAUCUUUUAGUUUGGCAAGUGCCUGAAGCAUUACUAGGUAACUCAAAUUGGUGAUCACAGGGAAACUCGACUUCAGGGAAUUCCACACUCGAUUGACCUCUCCAAGAUUAAACGUGCCACCAUAUAAGCUAAUCAGAAAAUGGUAAGCCUCCC
rnacentral:misc_RNA from 1 species